rnacentral:lncRNA from 1 species
GUCUCACAAAUGGUAUUUUGUUACCAUGGCAACCGAACUUCUAAAAAAACGGAUGUCAAGUAACAUGCGGAUCCCAGUGCUCAUGGCAACCGCCAUUCUGCAUAUUUUGGGGAGAAAAUGUGUCCCGCCUUCUUCCUGCCUGCCCCCGCUGCUCCCUGACUGCCUUCUGCAUUCCGUGCUCUUGCUGCCCCGCUGUGGCUGAGCGCAUCCACUGCAGCACUGAUCGCACCUGUUCCUGGGGGAAAAUCGGAGAAGGCGGUGGCACUCCACUCAAGUCCUCUUGCCUGGAAAAUCCCAUGGACGGAGGAGCCUAGUGGGCUGCAGUCC